rnacentral:rRNA from 1 species
ACUCCUACGGGAGGCAGCAGUAGGGAAUUUUCGGCAAUGGGCGAAAGCCUGACCGAGCAACGCCGCGUGAGGGAUGAAGGUCUUCGGAUCGUAAACCUUUGUCUUCAGGGACGAUACAAGACGGUACCUGAGGAGGAAGCCACGGCUAACUACGUGCCAGCAGCCGCGGUAAUACGUAGGUGGCAAGCGUUGUCCGGAAUUACUGGGCGUAAAGGGCGUGUAGGCGGCUUUUUAAGUCAGACGUGAAAUCCCUAGGCUUAACCUAGGAACUGCGUUUGAAACUGGAUGGCUUGAGGACCGGAGAGGGCAGUGGAAUUCCCAGUGUAGCGGUGAAAUGCGUAGAUAUUGGGAGGAACACCAGUGGCGAAGGCGACUGCCUGGACGGCACCUGACGCUGAGGCGCGAAAGCYMSSGGAGCAAACGGGAUUAGAUACCCCGGUAGUCCUAGCCGUAAACGAUGGAUACUAGGUGUGGGAGGUAUCGACCCCUUCCGUGCCGCAGUUAACACAAUAAGUAUCCCGCCUGGGGAGUACGGCCGCAAGGUUGAAACUCAAAUGAAUUGACGG